UACGGAGGUGGCAAGCGUUGUUCGGAAUUAUUGGGCGUAAAGGGCGCGUAGGCGGCGAGGCAAGUCAGAUGUGAAAGCCCCGGGCUUAACUUGGGAAUUGCAUCUGAAACUGCUUUGCUUGAGUCCUGGAGGGGGUAGUGGAAUUCCCAGUGUAGCGGUGAAAUGCGUAGAUAUUGGGAGGAACACCUGCGGCGAAGGCGGCUACCUGGACAGUGACUGACGCUGAGGCGCGAAAGCUAGGGGAGCGAAC
rnacentral:rRNA from 1 species